GGCGGACGGGUGAGUAACGCGUAGGAAUCUGUCCGGUAGUGGGGGAUAACGUUCCGAAAGGAACGCUAAUACCGCAUACGCCCCAAGGGGGAAAGAGGGGGAUCCUUCGGGACCUCUCGCUAUCGGAGGAGCCUGCGUCGGAUUAGCUAGUUGGUAGGGUAAAGGCCUACCAAGGCGACGAUCCGUAGCUGGUCUGAGAGGAUGAUCAGCCACACCGGAACUGAGACACGGUCCGGACUCCUACGGGAGGCAGCAGUGGGGAAUAUUGCGCAAUGGGGGCAACCCUGACGCAGCCAUGCCGCGUGUGUGAAGAAGGCCUUCGGGUUGUAAAGCACUUUCAGAGGGGAGGAAAGGGUGCCGGCUAAUAUCCGGUGCAGUUGACGCUACCCUUAGAAGAAGCACCGGCUAAUUCCGUGCCAGCAGCCGCGGUAAUACGGAAGGUGCAAGCGUUAAUCGGAAUUACUGGGCGUAAAGCGCGCGUAGGCGGCUUGGUAAGUCGGAUGUGAAAGCCCCGGGCUC
rnacentral:rRNA from 1 species